rnacentral:tRNA from 1 species
AGUAAGGUGCCUGAGUAAAAGGAUCAUUUUGAUGGAAUGAUUACGGUUAUUACAACUUCUUACUU